UACAGAGGGUGCAAGCGUUAAUCGGAAUUACUGGGCGUAAAGCGCGCGUAGGUGGUUCGUUAAGUUGGAUGUGAAAUCCCCGGGCUCAACCUGGGAACUGCAUUCAAAACUGUCGAGCUAGAGUAUGGUAGAGGGUGGUGGAAUUUCCUGUGUAGCGGUGAAAUGCGUAGAUAUAGGAAGGAACACCAGUGGCGAAGGCGACCACCUGGACUGAUACUGACACUGAGGUGCGAAAGCGUGGGGAGCAGACAGG
rnacentral:rRNA from 1 species